GUGCCCAUCGAUUAGUGGUUAAAUCACUUCGUUGUGGAUUCAGGUUUGAGUUCCGAAGAGCCCCGCGUUCGACUCGCGGUGGGCACA